rnacentral:rRNA from 1 species
GAUGAACGCUAGCGGCAGGCUUAACACAUGCAAGUCGAGGGGCAGCAAGAAUUGUGCUUGCACAAUUUGUUGGCGACCGGCGCACGGGUGCGUAACGCGUAUGCAACCUACCUUUAACAGGGGGAUAACACUGAGAAAUUGGUACUAAUACCCCAUAACACUUUGAAAGGCAUCUUUUGAAGUUGAAAGAUUUAUCGGUUAUGGAUGGGGAUGCGUAAGAUUAGGUAGUAGGCGGGGUAACGGCCCACCUAGCCGACGAUCUUUAGGGGUUCUGAGAGGAAGGUCCCCCACACUGGUACUGAGACACGGUCCAGACUCCUACGGGAGGCAGCAGUGAGGAAUAUUGGUCAAUGGAGGCAACUCUGAACCAGCCAAGUAGCGUGCAGGACGACGGCCCUAUGGGUUGUAAACUGCUUUUAUGCGGGGAUAAAUGAUUCUACGUGUAGGAUUUUGCAGGUACCGCAUGAAUAAGGACCGGCUAAUUCCGUG